ensembl:lncRNA
AUGUACUACAACUUGAACGGGAAACUCCCCCACAUCACCUAUGAGUACACUGUCCCCCUCAACAUCACGGCUGCAGAAGUAACCAGCACCGGCCCGGCCCACUCCCACCUUAACCUCACCUACAAUGAGCUAAAUGAGGAUGUCAGAGGGGAUCAGAGCAGCUCAAUAAAUCACAGCAGAGGUGCUGCACCUGUCCAUCACUACAACACCCCACUGGGAGAAGAGGUCCACCCAGACAUUCAGCUGCAGGAAGAAGAGGAGGUGGAGGUGGUGUGGGAGAUUCAGACACCAAGCCCACCACCGCUACAACCGCAGCCACAUCCAGUAGCUGUUCUGGUCUACAGGCCUGCUGAUGUCACUAGUCAUGUAUUCACCCACAAUGACGUAGAGGAGCAGGGACCUCCAGCACCAUCUGGAUACAGAAGUUCCUCUAACUCUAUUGAUGAGCCGUCUCCUGCUGAUGACAACACGCUGGUGCUUUCAUUCCCAGAAGACGCCCCCUACCUGCUGCUGGAGGACUUACAUUUCAACCACACACACUCUCUCACACAGUCUAACACACAUUCACAAGCAGAAGCAUCAGUGGGAACGCAGGCUACCACAGAUACUGAACUGAUAAUACAACCAGACACACACACUGUCGCACACACCCAGACAGAAACAGGCACCAACACUGCCAUCUUGGUGCAGAUGCAACAGGUGUCAGCGGUCCAGGCAGCCAACACAGAGAGGUAUGGUGGAGCAGAUGUAGAUCAUAAAAAUGUUAAAUACAGAUAAAUAUACAUUUUUGUAUAUAAUAGCUUAAAUCAUGAUCUUUCCUUUGUCUGAUCUU